AUGGAGCCUGGGGGUUCCGGCGACGAGGCGGUCGCCAUGCUGUGGUCCGUCCGGGAGGCCGUGGAACGGUCAACUUUGCAGAUCGGAGCGUCGGCGUGCGGCGCCACGGCGCUGGUGGACGUUCUGCGGGCCCUGGGGGUCCCGGUGACCCCGGAAACGGCCGAGCGCUGCGUCCAGACGCGGUUAAGGAGGAACGAGGCGCCGCUGCCGGACUACCUGCUGUCACGCAGCGAGGCCGGUACUGGAGCUCCGCAGGCAGACCGUGCCACCCACCAGCAACUGAUAGAUGGUGCCGAUUUGGCCAGCAGGGGGAAGGUCCUCGGCCGCUUUUUCCCCUUCCACCCCCGCCGCAGGGUGCAGCUCGUGUCCUGGUUGGCCGGAUGGAUCCGCUGCGGCGCCGUCCCGGUGGCCACCAUGAACAUGCAGCUGGCCGUGCCAGAGGGCGAGGAGAUGCCGGACGCCUGGCACCACCAGCUGGUGUUUGGAGUGGCGCCCGACGCCAUCUACAUGAGUAACCCCCUGGAAGUCGGUGAGAGGAGUGUUCCUUGCUUUCCUAGCCUGUGUUUCUCUCAGUGUUAUUAUUAUUUUUAUUAUCAUCAUCAUCUUCUGUCCCGCUUGUCCUAAAUGGGUCGCGGUGGCAGCAGGGAGAGCAGAGAGGCCCAGCCGCCCUGUCCCCCGCAACUUCCUCCAGCUCAACCUGGGGGAUCCCCAUCUGUUCCCAGGCCAACUGUGAGAUAUAAUCCCUCCAGCGGGUCCUGGGCCGACCUCGGGGCCUCGCCCCAGUUGGCCGUGCCCGAUAUACCUCCAAAGGGAGGCGCCCAGGGGGCAUCCUUAUCAGAUGCCUGACUCCUCUCAAUCUGGAGAAGUAGCAGCUCUACUCUGAGCUCCUCCCGGAUGUCCGAACUCCUCACCCUGUCACGGAGAGUGAGUCCCAGCACCCUGCGGAGAAAACUCAUUUCGGCCACUUGUAUCUGGGAUCUUAUUCUUUCGGUCAUUACCCAAAGUUCAUGGCCAUAGGUGAGGGUAGGGACGUAGAUCGACCGGUAAAUGGAGAGCUCCCCCUUCACCACUACAGUCCGCUACAGCGACCGCAUUACUGCUGCCGCUGCUCCCAGUCUGCGGCCAAUCUCACGCUCCCUUCUCCCCUCACUCGUGAACAAGACCCCAAGAUACUUAAACUCCUCCACCUGGGGCAAUUUCUCUCCCCUUACCUAGAGGGAGCAUGCCAUCCUUUUCCAUGAGAGAACCAUGGACUCAGACUUUGAGGUGCUGAUCCUCAUCCCAGCCGCUUCACACUCGGCUGCAAACCGUUCCAGUGCGUGCUGGAGACAACCCUCUGACGGUGCCAAAAGGACAACUUCAUCUGCAAAAAGCAGAGAUAUCACCUUUCAACUCCCACACAGAAUGCUCUCCUGACCCCGACUGCACCUUGAUAUCCUGUCCAUGAAAACCACAAACAGGAGUGGAGACAAGGCACAACCUUGGCGGAGUCCAACACCCACACUGAACAGGCCUGAUUUAAUGCGGAGUAUGCGGACACAGCUUUCGCUCCGCAUGUACAAGGACCAAAUGGCCCGCAGUAGUGGCCCUGGUACCCCAUACUCCCGAAGCACCUCCAACAGAA
rnacentral:lncRNA from 1 species